UACGGGGGGGGCAAGCGUUGUUCGGAAUUACUGGGCGUAAAGGGCUCGUAGGUGGCCAACUAAGUCAGACGUGAAAUCCCUCGGCUUAACCGGGGAACUGCGUCUGAUACUGGAUGGCUUGAGUUUGGGAGAGGGACGCGGAAUUCCAGGUGUAGCGGUGAAAUGCGUAGAUAUCUGGAGGAACACCGGUGGCGAAGGCGGCAUCCUGGACCGGUAUUGACGCUGAGGAGCGAAAGCCAGGGGAGCAAACGGG
rnacentral:rRNA from 1 species